AGAUCAAUUUGUCGGUCGUGCCUUGGUACGUACAGGCAUUAUUGAUUUCUCCCUUCUGAAGAACCGCGAUGUCAUUAAUUUGGUGUCGUGGGGAAUCAGGACUGUUACUUUGAAAAAAAUAGAGUGUUUAAAGCAGGCGCACGCUUGAAUACAUUAGCAUGGAGUAAUGAAAUAGGACGUUUGAUUCUAUUUUGUUGGUUUCUAGGAUCGACGUA
rnacentral:rRNA from 1 species